UGGGGAAUAUUGCACAAUGGGGGAAACCCUGAUGCAGCGACGCCGCGUGAACGAAGAAGGCUUUCGAGUCGUAAAGUUCUUUUAUAUGGGAAGAUAAUGACGGUACCAUAAGAAAAAGCCCCGGCUAACUACGUGCCAGCAGCCGCGGUAAUACGUAGGGGGCUAGCGUUGUCCGGAAUCACUGGGCGUAAAGGGUUCGCAGGCGGAAAUGCAAGUCAGGUGUAAAAGGCAGUAGCUUAACUACUGUAAGCAUUUGAAACUGCAUAUCUUGAGAAGAGUAGAGGUAAGUGGAAUUUUUAGUGUAGCGGUGAAAUGCGUAGAUAUUAAAAAGAAUACCGGUGGCGAAGGCGACUUACUGGGCUCAUUCUGACGCUGAGGAACGAAAGCGUGGGUAGCAAACAGG
rnacentral:rRNA from 1 species